GGCAGGCGACAAACGCGCUCCGCCGCGCAUUCCGGACAAGCUUCCUCUUCGACGGUCACUCCAAGUUCAUACGAGAGGAACAUCGGCAGCAUCUCCCCGGAUCAUACGACGAUCACCAACAUCCGGGAGCGGACCAUGGUGCUUGUGUUAAGCGGCUUGCUCCUUUUCAUCAGCGGCUCGCUGUUCGCCAUUCUCCUAGGUCUGAUCUCAGAAGACUAUCUCGUUACAGGAGCGUGGCCCAAGCUCUACUGUCCCGCCUUGCCGGUGCUCAACUUCCUUGGA